UUCGUAUCAAUCAUGCGUUUGUAGGGAAUUGCGUUGCAUUAUCCGUCUAAUAUGUAAGUGCUUUGAUGGGAGGGCCAGGAAAUCAAAGAAAGGCGCAUAUUGAGUCUGUGGCUUAGGAGGGCAGUCAUGGACUGCAAGGGAAGUAGUUGGCUGAAAAAAGAGAAUAAUGAAGUAUAUGCUGAACCAGGCUCCUUGGUACAGUUACACACAUCGACCAUGAAAGUAAAAGAAGAAUUGGAUGAGCAAGUGAACCAACAGUGUCUUGAAGAUAACUUUGGAACCCCUUGGCCAAAUGAUUUUAUCAAGGAGGAUCCUGAACUAAAUUUGGAGGUAG